rnacentral:misc_RNA from 1 species
CACUGCGUGAGCGGAACGAAAACAACAACACCUAAAAUGUGGAAUAUAGCAUAUAGUCGACAAGAGAAAUCUACGAAAAACAAACAAAACUUUCAACAACGGAUCUCUUGGUUCUCGCAUCGAUGAAGAGCGCAGCGAAAUGCGAUACCUAGUGUGAAUUGCAGCCAUCGUGAAUCAUCGAGUUCUUGAACGCACAUUGCGCCCCUCGGCAUUCCGGGGGGCAUGCCUGUUUGAGCGUCGUUUCCAUCUUGCGCGUGCGCAGAGUUGGGGGAGCGGAGCGGACGACGUGUAAAGAGCGUCGGAGCUGCGACUCGCCUGAAAGGGAGCGAAGCUGGCCGAGCGAACUAGACUUUUUUUCAGGGACGCUUGGCGGCCGAGAGCGAGUGUUGCGAGACAACAAAAAGCUCGACCUCAAAUCAGGUAGGAAUACCCGCUGAACUUAAGCAUAUCAA